UACGGGGGGAGCAAGCGUUGUUCGGAUUUACUGGAGCGUAAAGGGCGCGUAGGCGGUCAGCACAAGUCAGUUGUGAAAUCUCCGGGCUUAACUCGGAAAGGUCAACUGAUACUGUGCGACUAGAGUGCAGAAGGGGCAACUGGAAUUCUCGGUGUAGCGGUGAAAUGCGUAGAUAUCGAGAGGAACACCUGCGGCGAAGGCGGGUUGCUGGGCUGACACUGACGCUGAGGCGCGAAAGCCAGGGGAGCGAACGGG
rnacentral:rRNA from 1 species